rnacentral:rRNA from 1 species
GUCCAGACUCCUACGGGAGGCAGCAGUGGGGAAUAUUGGGCAAUGGGCGCAAGCCUGACCCAGCAACGCCGCGUGAAGGAAGAAGGCCCUCGGGUUGUAAACUUCUUUUAUCAGGGACGAAACAAAUGACGGUACCUGAUGAAUAAGCCACGGCUAACUACGUGCCAGCAGCCGCGGUAAUACGUAGGUGGCAAGCGUUAUCCGGUUUUACUGGGUGUAAAGGGCGUGUAGGCGGGUCGGCAAGUCAGUGGUAAAUUGGGGGGGCUCACCCCCUUCCCGCCAUUGAAACUGGCGUUCUUGAGUGGAAGAGAAGUAUGCGGAAUGCGUGGUGUAGCGGUGAAAUGCAUAGAUAUCACGCAGAACCCCGAUUGCGAAGGCAGCAUGCCGGCUUCCGACUGACGCUGAAGCACGAAAGCGUGGGGAUCGAACAGGAUUAGAUACCCCUGUAU